AUCGUGGUUCUGUUCCUAAGGAAGAAAGUGGACUGCAUAGUGGGUGCAGGGGGACUGGUUCAAUCCCUGGUCAUGGAACUAGAUCCCACACGCCAUAACAUAAAGUUCACACGCUACAACUAAGAAUCGUGUGUGGUGCAACUAAAGAGCCCGCGUGGAGCAACGAAGACUGAACAUCCCAGGUGCCGCAACCAAGACUUUGUGCAGCCAAAUUGUUCCUCAC